rnacentral:rRNA from 1 species
CCUACGGGAGGCAGCAGUGAGGAAUAUUGGGCAAUGGGCGAAAGGCUGAACCAGCGAAGCCGCGUGAGGGAAGAAUGUCCUAUGGAUUGUAAACCUCUUUUGUCAGGGAGCAAAGUCACCCACGUGUGGGUGUUGGAGAGUACCUGAAGAAAAAGCAUCGGCUAACUCCGUGCCAGCAGCCGCGGUAAUACGGAGGAUGCGAGCGUUAUCCGGAUUUGCGGGGUGUAAAGGGCGGGUAGGCGGGCUGGCAAGUCAGAUGUGAAAUUCCGGGGCUCAACCCCGGACCUGCCUUUGAAACUGGUGGUCUUGAGUGUCGGAGAGGCAGGCGGAAUUCCUAGUGGAGCGGUGAAAUGCGUAGAUAUUAGGAGGAACACCAGUGGCGAAGGUGGCCUGCUGGACCACAACUGACGGUGAGGCGCGAAAGCGUGGGGAGCAAACAGGAUUAGAUACCCCGGUAGUC